GGCAGGAGAGGAAGAGGAGGAGCACGGCCAACCCUGCCUAUAGCGGCUUCUUGGAGACCGAGAGGAAGCGACUGGCCUCCAGUUAUCUCCACAACCCCUUGUUCCUCACAGCACGAGGUAAGUGCCAGCUAGAGCCCUGGCUUCCACAGACCCAUACCGCUCCCAAAGUCUGGGCUUUCCCCUGUUCUCUAGGAGCUUCCUGUAGCCUCUGCUCUCGGGGAUCCUGGGGAAGGAAGAGAGCUGCUGGGACGGGCUCCAUCCCGUCAGAUACAGAAAUGGCACUAGGAACGCACUGCCCACUAGAAUCACAUAGGUUCCUGCUGUGCACCAGUGUCGAGAUCUGAGAACCAGGCCGAAGGCCACUGGGGUAGGACUGUCCACCAAAGGGCUGAGCUGACAGGGCAUGA
rnacentral:lncRNA from 1 species